AUUGAACGCUGGCGGCAUGCCUUACACAUGCAAGUCGAACGGUAACAGGUCUUCGGAUGCUGACGAGUGGCGUACGGGUGAGUAAUACAUCGGAACGUGCCUAGUAGUGGGGGAUAACUACUCGAAAGAGUGGCUAAUACCGCAUGAGAUCUACGGAUGAAAGCAGGGGAUCGCAAGACCUUGUGCUACUAGAGCGGACGAUGGCAGAUUAGGUAGUUGGUGGGAUAAAAGCUUACCAAGCCGACGAUCUGUAGCUGGUCUGAGAGGACGAUCAGUCACACUGGGACUGAGACACGGCCCAGACUCCUACGGGAGGCAGCAGUGGGGAAUCUUGGACAAUGGGCGCAAGCCUGAUCCAGCAAUGCCGCGUGCAGGAUGAAGGCCUUCGGGUUGUAAACUGCUUUUGUACGGAACGAAAAGCCCUGGGUUAAUACCCUGGGGUCAUGACGGUACCGUAAGAAUAAGCACCGGCUAACUACGUGCCAGCAGCCGCCGUAA
rnacentral:rRNA from 1 species